rnacentral:rRNA from 1 species
UACAGAGGGUGCAAACGUUGCUCGGAGUUACUGGGCGUAAAGCGCGUGUAGGCGGUGCCGCACGUCCGGUGUGAAAGCCCAGGGCUCAACCCUGGAAGUGCACUGGAUACGACGGCGCUGGAGUCCUGAAGAGGAGGGCGGAAUUCCCGGUGUAGAGGUGAAAUUCGUAGAUAUCGGGAGGAACACCAGUGGCGAAGGCGCUCUCUGGAACGCAACUGACGCUGAGACGCGAAAGCGUGGGAGCA